ensembl:lncRNA
AAAUCAUUUUGCUGCUGGCGUGGAAAAAAAAAUCGUCUUGGGUAACUAAAUCUUGGGUAUUAGCUGAUAAGAAGAGGUGUCAGAGGUGUUAUGAAACAAAUCAGAUGAAUAAUGGGCGAACUGUUAUCGCUUUCACAGACCGAAGGCGCGGCGGGCAGAGCGGCCUUCUCACCCCCUUCCCUUCACUUGUCGGGAAUUGGGGCAUUUUUCAGUCGCAUCUUCGCCCUUCUUGGGGGCGGCCUCAGAUUGCCGGCAGCUGUCUUAGAUCAGAGCUGUUUAUUCCACAGCGAAACCACUUUGGAUCGAGACGAGGGAGAGAGCGCAGAGCGGGGGCACCCUCCCGAGCCUUUGAAGCGCCUCUGGUCGUUCGUUCUCUUCUGCUCGGCAAAGUCCAAGCCCUCCACUCUCGUCACAAGGCAGAGCCCCGAGAUAAGAGAAGCGUCCUGCACACGAGCACGGUCACACGUCCGAAGUAACAGCGGACCUCCUCUCGCGUUUCCGAAGCUCGGGUGCUCGACGCCGCUAUCCGCCCCAUCCAAAGCGGUUUCUUUCCCCCUUCCCCGCUCCGCUUUUAGAAGAUAUUUCUUUAUUUGGUCAAGGAAUCCUAUCAGCGUCAGGAGAAAAGUUGUGGUUCUAAUUCUCUUAACGCAUCUGAGAACCAACCGUUCGGAAUAAGCAAGGAGUGUGUGAAGGGGGAAUCACCCAAACCUGUAGGAAGCUGGAAUUGGCCCUCUGCGCUUCGACAGCGAAUAGCAGCCACCGUGAGUCGAGCGCGGUGAUGUGCGCGGCGCUCCCCGGGGGAGCCCUGAGCAGAAAACCUUUGUCGCGUUGUCGAACCGGGUUCGGGCCGCGUUCUCUCGUGUAUCGGAGGGAGGGUGGGGGAGU